CCUACGGGAGGCAGCAGUGGGGAAUCUUCCGCAAUGGGCGCAAGCCUGACGGAGCAAUGCCGCGUGAACGAAGAAGGUCUUCGGAUUGUAAAGUUCUGUCCUUAUCGAAGAGAGGGUAUAGAGUGAAAAAUGAUAUACUAGGACGGUAGAUGAGGAGGAAGCCCCGGCUAACUACGUGCCAGCAGCCGCGGUAAUACGUAGGGGGCGAGCGUUGUCCGGAAUCACUGGGCGUAAAGGGCGCGUAGGCGGUAUGUCAAGUCAAGGGUGAAAUCCCCGCGCUCAACGUGGGAACUGCCUUUGAAACUGGCAAACUGGAGUGUGUGAGAGGAUAGUGGAAUUCCAGGUGUAGGAGUGAAAUCCGUAGAUAUCUGGAGGAACAUCAGUGGCGAAGGCGACUAUCUGGCACAUAACUGACGCUGAGGAGCGAAAGCGUGGGUAGCAAACAGGAUUAGAUACCCCAGUAGUC
rnacentral:rRNA from 1 species